CACGCGAAGAAGCGGAAGUCCCGCCUCCGCAGGACCCGCAGAAAAUCGCUCCUGUCCUGGGCCGUCAUUGGCCCAGAGUCCGCGGCCGACGCAAGGGCGGUGCCUUCUGGGUAAUGCAGUUUUUCUUUACAUCUGCUGGGUGUGGAAACUCACCAAGCGCAUCCGACUCCACGACACAAUUGGAGAAAUUGAUUAAUUUACCAAGGCUUUGACUAGAAUGGUGUGCUUUCCUUUAAGGAAUCCAAACUUGACUGGUAUAGCCAAUAAAAGCCCUUUGGGGAACUGGCCUCAUAGCUUGCCUAUA